rnacentral:rRNA from 1 species
GAUGAACGCUAGCGGCAGGCCUAAUACAUGCAAGUCGAACGAGAUUAAGAGGCUUGCUUCUUAUGAAAGUGGCGCACGGGUGCGUAACGCGUAUGCAACCUACCUUAAUCAGGGGGAUAGCCCGAAGAAAUUCGGAUUAAGACCGCAUAAAAACACAGGAUAGCAUUAUCCAAUGUUCAAAUAUUUAUAGGAUUAAGAUGGGCAUGCGUGUCAUUAGCUAGUUGGCGGGGUAACGGCCCACCAAGGCGACGAUGACUAGGGGAUCUGAGAGGAUGACCCCCCACACUGGUACUGAGACACGGACCAGACACCUACGGGAGGCAGCAGUAAGGAAUAUUGGUCAAUGGAGGGAACUCUGAACCAGCCAUGCCGCGUGCAGGAAGACAGCCCUCUGGGUCGUAAACUGCUUUUAGUCGGGAAUAAACCUUUCUACGUGUAGGAAGCUGAAUGUACCGAAGGAAUAAGGAUCGGCUAACUCCGUG